AGUUUUCUUGUUCCUUACACUACCUUACUUUCUAUUUUUUACACAGUGUAAGAUAAAUCACUGACAAUAGAGAAUAAUAUAUAAAGGUGUGAAUAAACUCAAAGACUACAGUCUUAGUUUUUAAAGAAAUAUUUUAUUGUAUUGAUGCCGAUAGGAUGACACAGCAUGUAUACAUCUAAAUCUAGAGAGGAGUUAAGGUUAAAUGCAAAUAUUAAAUAAAAAACUCAAAUCGGUGAAGUUGCUAAAAUCAUGCUCAGAUGGAAAGGGUGGAUUCAAGUUGUUUGUUGUAACGAAGUCCAAAGAUUUGAUGUUUAUCCAAAACUUUUUUAGCCUCUUCAAGUUGUUCUGAACUCAAAGAUUUCUUGAGUGCACUAAGAUUGCUCUCAGCUCGUUGAACAGUUGUAGAUCCAGGAAUAGGAAUGAUCAUGCCUUUUCCGUUUGCAAUAAUGAAGUUAAGAGCGAAUUCAGGCAUACUCAUACCAAACUUUUGAGCCAAUUGCUCGACUGCUUUAAGAAACGGGAUAUUUUUUUCAAAAACUUUUGGAUUAAACUUGUCCAUAUUCCGUAAGAAGGGAAAUGCUUUGAUAAAGUCUUUAAGAUCUUCAGCAGUCUUGACACGCCCAGUUAAAAGUCCAUGACAGAAAGGCGCGUAAGCGAUUAUUGGGAUAGAGAGCUGUGUACAAGUAUCGAGAAUGCCAUUUUUCUCGAUAUCUCGUGAGAAUAGAGAGUAUUCGGUUUCGACUGCCGCAAUAGGCACGAUGGCAAGGGCGCGUUUGAUGCUUUCAGCAGAAGCCUCGCUAAGACCGACACAUGAAAUUUCUCCUGAGUCUACAAAAGCCUUCAAUGCUUUCAUGGUAGUUUCAAUUGGAACUUUGUGAUCAACUCGGGCACAUUGGAAGAGAUCUAGCUUUUUCUUUCCACGUAAACGAGUAAGUGCAUUUUUUACACUCUUAGUCACUGAUUCAGGAUCUCCAUGGGGAGCGAGUGUUUUAAAAUCUGUUCCUCCCUUAACUGAUAAAAAUACUUUAUCGGCAUUUUUUGGAUACUUUUCAAAAUAAUCAGCCAACAAAUCUAAAUUGGCAGUAGGAGGAUUGAUGCCAUAGAAUUCUCCAGCAUUCCAAUAGUUCGAACCUUGGGACAAGGCGUAAUUCAUUAACUCAAAGGCUUGUUUAAUGGGAGUUUGCUUGGGUCUCCAAGUUAAACCCAUAAGGCCUAAGCCAAUAGGUCCUACUUUAAAACCGUUCACAAUAGGCAUUGUGAAAUGACAGUCAAAUCGAGAAGAAAAAUAAUUUUAAGAAAUUCUCUAAUUCUCACGAAAAGUAAAUGUCUACUAUACUUUCAGUUCUGGUGCAAUUGGUAUACCAAAUAGUUUCAAAAUGGGGAAAACCAACUUGAAACAAAAAUCAAGGAAAAUAUCGUCUGUUUAUGAAUCUUCAGUAAUUUGUAUUUCGUGAGCGUCAGUAUAAAUUUUGUUCUGAUUUAUAAUUUGGAGGGAUGUGACGCUAGUCUUACAACAUUCAACCUUUCCCACACGUUUACUGUUGAUUAGUGAAAUUUCUUAUUUCUCUGCUUUUUUAGAUAACAUUGAUUUAUAUUUUUUUGAAUUAUGUUUUUACAGUGGCCCUUAUCUAUAAUAAACCGUGAUCAAGUUUCUGUACCCAGGUCUCUGAAAAAGGAAAGGUUUUUUACGGUUCAUAUCAUGGGUGCUUGAGUUUUUUAGAUCAUUUUAUAAUUUGAUCAAAUGCAACAGGAUACUGUUAUUAUUACUUUACUCAGAAAACUGCCCAACGGUCCUUAUCCCAUUCAUUAGUGUUUCGUAUGAAUUAGGCCAGAAUGAAGUUAGUUACAAAAGCGCGAAUUGCUUUUAUUUGAGGGGUCUUAGAAAACUGUGAACGGUAUAAAAGAGCAGUAAUGAAACAAUGGAAACUAGAGUCGUAUUUAAUGUUGUUCAAUUUCCAAAGGCUGCCUUUGAAUUAGUCGUAGCAGCAAUUCUAGCAAACAAGCUAUUUGAAAAUAAACAAAGUGUCUUUUAUAUUUCGUUGAAUAUAUUUAUGUGAGAUUCGAGUGCAAGGAGAAUCAUUCCGUUUUAAAGAAUGGAGGACUUGAAAUGGUUUAUAAAUUGUAAAGAAUUUCGUUGAAGGUUCACGUUGUUUUCGACUUUGCUCUAUCAUAGCAGAACGGCAAGUUUUUCCUCUUGAUAUUAUAUAUUUUUAAAAAUUAGACGCUCGGUCUUACAAGUUAUUUCAGGCAAUAUUAAUAUACAAGGACAAUUAUCACUUCUUAUGCGCAGUCAUAUAUCAUAAACAAGAAGUCUUUUGAACGGAAACUCGAAACAGGAGAAAAGCAAGCAUUAUCAGUAUCGGUAAGGUAAUCAAUAACAAUACAUUACACGAUUAAAAAGCGAUUAUUUCAAAAUAAAUUUCCAGUAAUGUUCAUUUUUUUUCUUUAUGCUUCGAAAAUGCACUUACUUUUUAGGCAGAGUAUAUUGAGUCGUACAACUCAAUUUUGGGCUUGCGGCAAUAUGUUAAAACUCAUAUUCUAGAAUAAGAAAAAAAUUCUCACAAAGAGUGCCCUCCAAAACACGUCUUCCUAAAUAUUUACACCAUGAGUACUUUCAUACUGUAUCCGAUCUUUGUUUAUGUAAUAGCUUGGCUAACGAGAUUAUGCUUAAAAAGUUACAAAACGAUAUGUUCUUUAUCCAUUGAAUAUUUGAAAACAUCUCAGUGUAAAAAUAUCAAUCAUUGAGCAUGGUAUUACCAUUGUAAGAUAAAGAGUCAGAACUUUUUCAAGAUCAAGAUCCUAUAUCCAUAAAAGAAACCAAAACUAAUUCCAGCUGUAAUCAAUAAUGAUCGUUGGGUUUGAUAAUUAACAAGAAAUCAUUAACAUUAGAUGUUUAAGCGUUGUACAUAUUCAUAUCCGGGCCAUGAGACAGUAGAAAACCAAAGAAAGCACAAAAGCAAGUUAAUCUUGAACUUUUAUAACAGGAUGGCUUUCUUUUUGCCAUUGUUUGCGCUUGUAUUUUUGGGAUUCAUUAGCUGAUGGGCUUUUCACUAUUACCACCAGUUUCGUUCCUUAGCAUCUGCCACCUCCA
rnacentral:lncRNA from 1 species